CAAUAGCGUAUAUUAACGUUGUUGCAGUUAAAAAGCUCGUAGUUGGAUUUCUGGUGGAUUGAGUCUUCCUUGUACUAUGUACUUGAGAGUGGCUGUAAUCUCACCAUCUUUGUAGGGAGCUAUCUAGGCCUUCAUUGGUUUGGUUAGGGACCUACAUCAUUUACUGUGAAAAAUUAGAGUGUUCAAAGCAGGCAUUUCGCUUCUGAAUAUAUUAGCAUGGAAUAAUAAGAUAGGAUCUCGUGUACUAUUUUGUUGGUUUGCAUACCGAGAUAAUGAUUAACAGGGACAGUUGGGGUUAUUCGUAUUUAAUUGUCAGAGGUGAAAUUCUUGGAUUAACGGAAGAAAAACUACUGCGAAAGCAUCUGCCAAGGAUGUUUUCAUUGAUCAAGAACGAAAGUUAGGGGAUCGAAGAUGAUCAGAUACCAU
rnacentral:rRNA from 1 species